rnacentral:rRNA from 1 species
AGAUAUAUAAAUUAUACUUAUUGUUUUUGUAAAAAAAAAUCAAUAAGCAAUAUAAGUAUGUAAAGGAAUUAUUAUGUAAUCUUAGCUAUGUAUUAAGGAGAGCAAAUUUGAUAUAAAAAGGAAUAUUUUAUAUUCCUAGUUAAUAAGCUCUAGAAUAAAUUUAAUAAUAAACGAAGUGAAGUGAAAUAUCUCAGUAACUUCAGGAAAAGAAAUCAAAAGAGAUUCUAUGAAUAGCGUGAGCAAAAGUAGAUAAGUCUAUUAAGUAAAAUGGUAUAUAAACUGUUUGAAUGGGGAACCUUCCUCAAAGACUAAAUAUGAUACAUAAGCGAUAGAUGAUGAGCCGUGAGGUAAUUAGAAGUUAGUAGUAAUUUUAUAAGCAGUUCGAAUAGACUUAAUUUAAGCUAAAGAACGUACCUUUUGCAUAAUGGGUCACCAAGUUAGCAUUAGAUGCGAGAUAAUAUCGUAGUUAAACCAAACAUUAAAAAAAUGAUAAGUGUCUAAAGUUAGACCCGAAGCCUAGUGAUUUUACUAUGGUCAGGAUUAUAAAAGUCCGAACGGGUGAUUGUAGCAAAAAUCUCCGAAGAACCGUGGUAGGUAUAGUGAAAGACAAUACUGACUAGGAUAGCUGGUUUUCUGCGAAACCUAUAACAGUAGGCAAUUUAAGUAAAUAUCUUAGCAGGUACAGAAUUUAAUCUCAGGCAAUUUAUUGCACAAAUUGGGGAAUCGUGAAGAUUUUAUCAGUGAGUAUGUAGACUCGGAAUGGUAAAGAUAUAUCUUGAAUGAUCAGACAUAGAAUGAUAAGGUUGUAUGUCAAAAGGGAAACAGCCCAGAACAAGAGUUAAGGUUCCUAAAUUAUUUGUUGAGUGAAAUUAAGAAAGUUUUUAUUAAAGUCGACAAGGAGAUAGGCUUAGAAGCAGCCAUAAUUUUAUGACCUCGUAACAGAGCGCUUGUUAAGUUAUAAAAGCAUCGAAAAUAUAACGGAUCUAAACAAUAUACCGAAACCUUGUCCAUAAAUUAAUGUAGUUUACGUAUUUUUUUUUCAAAAACGACAAAUUUAUGGGGUAGCAGAACGUUGAAUUAAACUAAAUAAUAAGUUUAUAAAUUUGUUAUGUUAAUUCAAGUGAGAAUGGUGACAUGAGUAACGAAAAGAAUAGUAGAUGAUAUUAUAAAACUACAUUAAAUAUUUGAUCUUAUUUAAUGUUUAAAGAUCUACUAUCCGCCUAAAGCUUAUGGUUAGAAUUAAGUAACGGCCUCUAAGCUUUUUUAUCUAAAGAUUGAAGCGAUGAGAAAAUCUUUUAUUAUAAGACGACAUUUAUCUAGUGAAAAAUGUACAGGAAAUAUUAUAAUAUAGUAACCGUACCUAGAAACCGACUAUGGUAAGCUAGUAGAGUAUACGAAGGCGUAAUUGAGAUAACAAUCAUAAAGGAACUCGGCAAAUUGACUAUCGUAACUUCGGGAUAAGUAGGGCUCAUUAUUCUUGAUUAAUAUCAGGUAAAGAGGAAGAAACAUAAAAUAAUGUUGUACGACUGUUUAAUUAAAACACAGCACUUUGCUUAAAGAUUAAAAAUCUAUGUAUAAAGUGUGAUAUCUGCCCGGUGCCGGCUGGCUAACAGAGAUAAUUGAAUACAUUACUAUUUGAUGUCAACGGAAGCCCCGGUUAAAGGCGGCCUUAACGUGAGGGUCCUAAGGUAGCAAAAUGCCUUGGCCGUUAAAUGCGGUCUUGCAUGAAUGGUGUAACGAUACAACAGCUGUCUCUAUGAUUGACUCAGUGAAAUUGGAAUAGCUGUGCAGAUACAGCUUACCUCUAGUUAGACGAGAAGACCCUAUGCAGCUUUACUGUCACUAAUUAUAGAUUUUGAUGAAAAAUUUUCAGACUAAAAGGUUGUUGAUUAAAUAUUCAUGAGAAACCUUUAUUUUUAUUCUUCAUUUGAAUGAAUUGAUAUACCUUUAGUAUAUCAUCCUAGUUCAACUUAGUUCUUAGUUUACUAAGAAAUAGGUACCCUUGGAAAGGAACUAUGACUAGGGGACAGUUUAUGUGGGGCACAGACCCUGUAAAGAGUAAACAGGUGUGUCUAAUAAUUAUUUUUAUUUUGUUUGCUAUUUUUAUAUAAAUCAUAUUCACUUUGAUAUAAUUGUAUUGUGUACGGUUUUAAUAAAGCUUGUUAUAUAAUUAUAUUUAUAUUGAAAAUUUAGGUAAGAUUUUGACUAUAUUGAAAUUAGAGAUAAUUUAAAAUUUUAUGUAAUUAGCGCCAGCGUUACUAAAAUUUUAUAGUUACUAGGGCUGACUAGCUUACGCUAGCACAUAGUAAUUAUGUUUUUAAUAUCUAAAAAGCUCAACGGCUUAAUCUUGCCUUACUGUUUGAUUAUCGACAAAUCUUACAGUUGCGUAAGCAGGGCAUAGGAUCACAAGAUGCAAUAAGGAAAGAUCUUGGAUUAUUGGAAAAGCUACGCUAGGGAUAACAGGCUAAUUUGCGCAAGAGUGUACAAAAUGAGUGCGCGGUUUGGCACCUCGAUGUCGGCUUAACUUAUCCUCAUGGAUGCAGAAACUAUGUAGGGUGCGACUGUUCGUCGAUUAAAAAGUUACAUGAGCUGGGUUAAAUACGUCGUGAGACAGUAUGGUUUCUAUCUUCUAGAGGGAAUUAGAAUAAAAUAAGAACGAACUUUUGUACGAAAGGAACAAGAAUGAUUUAUGCGCUAUAGCGCAAAACAAAUUAUAGUUACUAACCUAUGGUUUACCUGUUGUUUAUAUGCCUUAUUAUUAAAUAUAUAGAUAAUAUAAGGGGCAAGCUCUUUAUUUAUUAGUAUUUCUAAUGAAUAUUUAUAUUUAGAUCAAUACCGUACUAAUUCAGUAGUGAAAACUACUGUUAUCUAUAUAUAUGUAUAUAUUAAUAUAUACAGAGGAUGUAUCGUUCGCUAGGAUAAUAUAUAAUAUAA